AAGAUGGCUGAAGAGGAACAGCCCCAGUCUGCAGCGCCCAGGGAGACCAACGCAGAAGGCAGAAAGUUUCAGAAAGGUGAUGAAAUUUAAGCUGGGCUUUAAAGGCUACAUCAAAUUUGACAAAUGGAAUUGUGAGGAAAGCACAUUAGAAGUAAAGAGUGAACCCACAAAAACAAGAGAACAUCAUGUUUCUAGAGGCUGCCUGCAUUCCUUGGCUAAUGACUUUGCAUCACUCUGACGUCUUGCUCCCAUGGUCGUAUCACCUACUACUGGCCCUGAUCUCACUACUUGUUAUAUGGAACAAAGGGAUAAGGAAGUGACUUGCCUAAGUCACUGAGGAACCUAAUAUUGAGAUUAGCACUCAAUGAUUCCUGGCUCUCAGAAUGUGUGCUGCUACCACCAGGCCACACUCUUCCCUCCAGAGAGAAGAUGUGUCAGCACGGAAUUGUGCUGAAGCAAAGAUGUGAAAUAGAAUGAUUACAUAUCUACCUAGUGGGAAGAUCUGGGGAAGAAUCUAUCAGUGCUGGCAGAGAAGCAAACCAUACGACAUCACUCAUCCCCAGAAAGUGAAGUUAAGGGAAAUAAAAAACAAUCUACACCAUUUAGAAAACACAGCCACCCCAUACCCUUGGAAAAAAUACACUAAAAUAUCUUCAUCUGAUUUGACCUCUAAUAACAUGAAUAA
rnacentral:lncRNA from 1 species